ACGUAGGGGGCGAGCGUUGUCCGGAAUUAUUGGGCGUAAAGCGCGUGUAGGCGGGAUUUUAAGUCGGAUGUGAAACCCUUGGGCUCAACCCAGGACCUGCAUUCGAAACUGGAAUUCUUGAGUGCAGGAGAGGAGAGCGGAAUUCCUAGUGUAGAGGUGAAAGGCGUAGAUAUUCGGAGGAACACCAGUGGCGAAGGCGGCUUUCUGGACUGGUACUGACGCUGAGGCGCGAAAGCGUGGGGAGCAAACAG
rnacentral:rRNA from 1 species